UACGUAGGGUGCGAGCGUUAAUCGGAAUUACUGGGCGUAAAGCGUGCGCAGGCGGCGCGUUAAGACAGGUGUGAAAGCCCCGAGCUUAACUUGGGAAUUGCGCUUGUGACUGGCGUGCUGGAGUGUGGCAGAGGGAGGUGGAAUUCCACGUGUAGCAGUGAAAUGCGUAGAGAUGUGGAGGAACACCGAUGGCGAAGGCAGCCUCCUGGGCCAGCACUGACGCUCAUGCACGAAAGCGUGGG
rnacentral:rRNA from 1 species